CUGAUGAAAUAGGGAUUAUAUCGGACUCACAGGGUGGAUUCCGCAAGGGAUACUCUGUCCAUGAUAACAUGUUUGUUUUACAUUCUAUAAUUACAUUAUAUUUAUCUGCCGGAAAGAAAUUGUUCUGUGCAUUUGUGGAUUUUAAACGGGCGUUUGAUACCGUUUGGAGGGCUGGGCUUUUCCAAAAACUUAUAAAAAAUAACAUCAGAGGGAAAAUGUUUACAUUGAUACAAAAUAUGUACACUGAUAUUA
rnacentral:lncRNA from 1 species